UACAGAGGGUGCUAGCGUUGUUCGGAAUCAUUGGGCGUAAAGGGUGCGUAGGCGGCGCGGUAAGUCGGGUGUGAAAUCUCGGGGCUUAACUCCGAAACUGCAUUCGAUACUGCCGUGCUUGAGGACUGGAGAGGAGACUGGAAUUUACGGUGUAGCGGUGAAAUGCGUAGAUAUCGUAAGGAAGACCAGUGGCGAAGGCGGGUCUCUGGACAGUUCCUGACGCUGAGGCACGAAGGCCAGGGGAGCAAACGGG
rnacentral:rRNA from 1 species